AUUGAACGCUGGCGGCAGGCCUAACACAUGCAAGUCGAGCGGCAGCGGGAAAGUAGCUUGCUACUUUUGCCGGCGAGCGGCGGACGGGUGAGUAAUGCCUGGGAAAUUGCCCAGUCGAGGGGGAUAACAGUUGGAAACGACUGCUAAUACCGCAUACGCCCUACGGGGGAAAGCAGGGGAACUUCGGGCCUUGCGCGAUUGGGUAUGCCCAGGUGGGAUUAGCUAGUUGGUGAGGUAAUGGCGCACCAAGGCGACGAUCCCUAGCUGGUCUGAGACGAUGGUCAGCCACACUGGAACUGAGACACGGUCCAGACUCCGACGGGAGGCAGCAGUGGGGAGUAUUGCACAAUGGGGGAAACCCUGAUGCAGCCAUGCCGCGUGUGUGAAGAAGGCCUUCGGGUUGUAAAGCACUUUCAGCGAGGAGGAAAGGUUGGUAGCUAAUAACUGCCAGCUGUGACGUUACUCGCAGAAGAAGCACCGGCUAACUCCGUGCCAGCAGCCGC
rnacentral:rRNA from 1 species